rfam:Klebsiella pneumoniae subsp. pneumoniae MGH 78578, complete sequence.
AAUAGGCUUUCAGCGUCCGCUGGCAGAGGGCCGAGCGCACGCAGUCAUCGGUGGUGAAACGCACGAUGCCGAUCAUCUCGUCUUCCUCAAAACGCGCCAGCGCAUCGCUCAGGCCAGAUCUCACGCCAGAGGGCAAGUCGCACUGGGUGAUAUCGCCAUUGACGAUGACCGUCACGUUCUCCCCGAGGCGGGUU